GGCGGGGUAGUACAUGGCGUGCUUCCGUGAACUGUAACUGUAUCAAAUAUACACGUUCAACGUUUAACGGAAGGAGCCCGUUCGACUCGGGCCCCCGCCA